rnacentral:misc_RNA from 1 species
UAUCCGUAGGUGAACCUGCGGAAGGAUCAUUAUUGUAUAACCGAGGUGCGAGGGCUGUCGCUGACCCGAAAGGUCGUGCAACCACGAGUGCUACCACACUCAUCUAUCUAACCCCUAUGUGCACCACCGCGAGGGCCCCUCUUUGGCUUGUUCGGUGGGGGGCCUACGUUUUCACUCAAACUCUGUAUGCAGUGUAGAUUGUAUUUAUUGAUUUUGUGAAUACGAAAUCUAUACAACUUUCAACAACGGAUCUCUGGGCUCUGGCAUCCAUGUAGAAAG